ensembl:lncRNA
GUGGAUACAAGAGUAUCUUUAGCCGAUCCCAAGAAAAUCUCCAGGGCCACCAGUAGGGGUCAGUAUGUCACCAUGCCUGUUUGCCAUCCAAGGCUGCAUUUCGCUCCGAGACUGGCGCUAGGCAUGGGGCAGCCAACACCAGACAAAGCCCACUGCCGGUCAGUCAGAGGAUCAUCCAAUCACAGCACAAAGCAAGGCAGACCAGGAGUGCUGGGAGCUGCUCCAGUUAUGAUACACGCUCCUGAGAAAUGCUCUAGUAAACCUGAUAAAGGGAAGAAAACACUGUACAAGGCCACAUCUUCUUCUCCAAGAGUACAGGAGACAUAAGCCACAAGAGUUCCAGUAAUGGUCGCCAGCAAUAUCGCUACUUCACCAAGGAUGGAAUGUGUCGCGGCUCGCCAUACAGCUCCAAGAACAAGAUGUGUGACCUGAUCGGCACCCUGAUGGAUCUGAAGUACAGCUGGAUCCUGUUUGUCUUUACCCUGUGCUACAAUGUCACAUGGACAGCCUUCGCAGAGCUUAACUUCCUGGAUGCCUGGCUGCGUGGUGAUGUGGAACACAUACAAUGUGUUCCACAUACAAACCCGCAAUGGCAGCCAUGUUUUGAGAAGCUGGACAGUUUCCAUUCGGCCCUCUCUAUCUCCAUGGACAUCAUCAAUGGCUACGGCACUAGAGAGGCCUCAGUCAACUGCAUGGACGGGCUGGUUCUCAUGAUGGCACAGUCCAUCAUUGAAUCAGUGUUAGACGUCCUGAUGCUGGGCUACAUCCUGGCUAAGAUAGCCAAGCCUAAGAGGAGGCUGCCCACUUUGUUGUUCAGUCAGCACUGUAUGGUCUGAGAGGGAUGAGAGCCUGUGCCUGAUGUUCAACAUCAGGACUUUGAAAGAGACACACAUGCUGGUGGCAGAGAUUAGAGCCAAGCUGAUCAAAUCUCACCAUACCAAAGAGGGAGAGUUCAUCCUGUUGGAUCAGAGAGAGCUGACUCUGUGGAUGGAUCCAGAUGGAGCCAGGUUGUUCCCAGACCAUGGCGCAUGUAAUUGAUGAACACAGGCCUCUCUGGGGCAUCAGCACUGACUCUUUAAAGUGGGAGACCUUUGAAAACCGUGGUCAUAGUGGACGGAGCCAUGCAAGACGCGGGUUUGUACUGAGAGGCACAGCCUUCCAUGUGAGGACCUCCUACACUGAAUAUGAUAUUCUUUGGGGACAGCGCUUUAAGUCAUACAAGCCAUUAGAUGAGAGAGGGAUUGGGUCCAAUCACAAGACCUCUGAUAAGAACUAUAAGGUCCAGACUGCCACACACAGUGACAAAGAGAUGGCAGUGAGACAUAGACAUAAGAGAUCUCCUGGACACGACACAGACUCUGUCCCCUCCAACAUGUCUACAAGGAAAGUACAUUACCAGUAUUUAUCUGAUCAAAUGUUACUGUGCAACUCAGUCAGUAAUAACAAUGGCACAGGAACUAGGAAACUUAGUAAGAAUUAGUUCUUUAUAUAAAUAUGGACGUUUGACAAGUCGGCAUAGAAGGGUUCAUCAAAGUGAUGAAAUCAAGACACACUGUACAUAUCCUCCAGAAUGUUUAUACAAUGUGAAUAAAUGAAUGACGAUGACCAAUAUCUAAAGCUGCCACAUCUUAUUUAUCAAACUUUCUGAAUACUUACAUUUGUAUAUGUGAGCAGUGAGCACAGCAUGCCUUGUGCUAAACACGUGUGUGAUAUACAAGUACAAUUAUGCUGAUUGAAUGAGUUGUUAGUGGUCUCCUUACAGUAUGCCAGGAAUUACAAAAGGUUUCUUUUUUUGCCCAUACACCAAACUCUCCCGAUUUAAAUGAUGAGUGUCAUUUAAAGAUUGUAUUGUGGGGAACCAAUUUGAGAAAUGGAAGACCGAACUGACAGCCGCGCAUGACAAGACAAAUGAAUGUCAGUAUUACUGUCUCAUCACCAGCAAUGGGGAGAUCUCAUUCAUAUACCAUGCUAGACUCAUAUAUAUACAUAUAUAUUACGUGGUAGAUAAGCUUUAGCAUUGGAGAUAAAUUGUGGCUUCCAUCAACGUAAUUGUCUGCAUCAUUUCCAAGCUACCAUAUAUAUUUUUUGUAAAUGCAAACUGUAAACCACUGCGCAUUCCUAGUCUGCGUGUCAGCACACAGUAUUAGUCUGCCACGUCCACCUCAGGUCACAGUGUUCAGACAGACAGGCAGAAAGACAGACAGACAGACUUAUUAGAGUGGGUUUGACUUGUACAUCAUUUCAUCUGACAGUGGUCAGAUGAGCCAAAGAGAUGCAGGCCGUUUCCGGGAUGCUGCCUGGACAGUCCGGGUGUACGGAAUGUUUUCCUGGGCAGUUAUCCUCCUCACCUGGCUCUCUCUGGGCCUAAUCCCAUACAACGCCCAUGGGAGAUACUGCAUGUCCAAGGUACAUUCUGCUGGCUGGAAUUCUAGCUGGCAGAUAAAUUCAAAUAUUUAGAAACACCUUGAUGUUCUCAACUUAAAUAGGUGAGACUGGGUUAAUUAAGCUUGGCGGUAAAGUAGAAGAGACAUUUAAAAAAAAUACUUCUUACACAUACUGUACCUGUAAACAGUCCUGAUUUUAUCAUAUUUUAAUUAACACAUUUAUU